rnacentral:rRNA from 1 species
AGCGAACGCUGGCGGCGGGCCUAACACAUGCAAGUCGAGCGAAGCCUUCGGGCUUAGCGGCGGACGGGUGAGUAACGCGUGGGAACGUGCCCUUUGCUACGGAAUAGCCCCGGGAAACUGGGAGUAAUACCGUAUGUGCCCUUCGGGGGGAAGAUUUAUCGGCAAAGGAUCGGCCCGCGUUGGAUUAGGUAGUUGGUGGGGUAAUGGCCUACCAAGCCGACGAUCCAUAGCUGGUUUGAGAGGAUGAUCAGCCACACUGGGACUGAGACACGGCCCAGACUCCUACGGGAGGCAGCAGUGGGGAAUCUUAGACAAUGGGCGCAAGCCUGAUCUAGCCAUGCCGCGUGAUCGAUGAAGGCCUUAGGGCUGUAAAGAUCUUUCAGGUGGGAAGAUAAUGACUGUACCACCAGAAGAAGCCCCGGCUAACUCCGUGCCAGCAGCCGCCGUAAGAC